CGAUWAGACCCUAUUGAACUUAACUGUAGUUAAACUGGGSCAGUAAAUUAAUUAUUAUUUUAAUAAAACUUAUUAUAUAAAUAUCUUUUAAAAUUAAAUAAUUCAGUUACCAUAGGGAUACCAGCGUAAUAAUUUUCUAAAGCUCUUAUUUAAAAUAUAGAUUACGACCUCGAUGUUGAAUUAAUAACCUAACUAAGGCAAAACUUAGAAUAGGAAGUCUGUUCGACUUUUAAAAAAUUACAUGAUUUGAGUUCAGACCGGUGUAAGCCAGGUCGGUUUCUAUCUUCUAGAAAAAUUUUUACAGUACGAAAGGACCUAAGAAUUUAAUA
rnacentral:rRNA from 1 species